rnacentral:misc_RNA from 1 species
UGAUUUAGUUUUGGGUGCAAGAGAAUGAGAGAGUGAGUGAGUGAGGGAAAGAGAGAGAGAGAGAGACGAGGGAAUUUCGAGAGAGUGAAAAAAGUCUCAGUUUUUGAUAGAAUCAAAACACUGUUUGUAGUAUCUAGGUACAUAAAUGUAUAUUUCCGUCGAGAAGAAUACGUGUGUUCCAUUAUACUCCUUCAUUAUGCUCAAAGUGUAGUUAUUGGAUUAAAGUGUGUGUUUCUAGAGAGUGAAUUAGAAGAAGUCUGACCCCUCCUCAUUUCGUGAAAUAUUUCCAAUAGUAAGUGUGACAUAUAGAAGACUACAUCCCAAUAGAUUUCCAUGACGUUCUCACCGCAAGAUGACAAGGAUCUUCUCAUGAGGAAGACAAGUCCGUCAUGUCAUCAUUUGUCGGGGGCGAGGAGAAAGGGAUUCUUGAAUUACUUCGACCUUGGCUCCUCGAUGAAAACGUAUGCAAUCGCAGGAGUAUUUACUCCCCAGGAUUGUCUGCAGGUGACAAGGACAACUCUUCAUUAGAGGAGGACCCUUACACAGCAGCUCAAGAUCUUCUCUUCCAUUUUUCAUACGGACUCUUUGCACUCAGUUAUCUAUCACCCAAUUCACGCUAUGGUCGCUUAUUACUUCAUGCUGGGCUAGUUGCGGGAUUCCUGGUUUGUUCAUCCUGGGCCUGGAACGUUCUCUGUGCUCCAGAGAUAUUUGGGUGGAAUUUCUCAUUCAUACUCCUCAACAUUGGACAGCUCCUCUAUAUCCUCUAUCAGAUGAGACCCAUCAAAUUCCCCGAGGAAAUAGAGAAUCUCUAUCUAAGUCUCUUUGCUCCACUCAGAGUUCCCCGGACGAGUUUUGAGAAACUCAUAAGUUUAGACAUUGUGGAAAUAUCAGAGCUUCACUCAGGGGAGUGCUAUGCAAUCAAAGACCUCUCAAAAACCGUCCGUUUAGCUGUUCUGCUUCAAGGAAGAGUUCAUGUUGUCAAUGAAAACAACUACCUCCACGAUAUACGCCCCAACGAAUUCCUAGACUCCCCAGAGUAUGAGUCAUCCGGGAUCAAUUGUGAAGAAACUUUCAAAGUAACAGUUCUAGCCGCCGUUCCCUCCAAAAUCCUAGUAUGGCAACGCUCCUCCUUAGAAUACCUCUUUAUCAAGGAUCCCUACCUAGGCUCAGUCAUGACUGCCCUCAUAUCCCAAGACAUUACAAACAAAAUUUACUCCAUGAAUAAGAAGCUCAAGAAUGCAAAAGGAUCUAGUCUGGAUAUACGUUUGCCUGGGAUCGCUGGUCGACUCUCCAAAUUGAAUGACAAGGAACUCUCUGAGCUUGUUGAGCUCAAUAGGAAAAGGGACAAGUCUGAUGAAAAGGCCAAAAAGAGUUUUGUCAAGAGCUUUCGACGUAAACUCAAAUCCUAGAGACUAAUAAUUCUUUUUCGCCCUCCCUCUGUGGUUGAGCGUUCUGUGGUUCUCCUUGAUUAUACAAAUCAUAAUAAUAGCGUGGAUGAUGAGAGAUUUGCCUCUUUAUUACAUAUUUUGGACAAAAAAGUUAGUGGACACUUCUUCUUUUUUUGGGGAUGAUUUAUUCAUCAUUCAUUUUACUUGGUAUAUGAUUUUGUCUCAUGUAAUUGUGAUAUUACUAUUCAUAUUAACCAUUUAUCUCUAUUUUAUACGAACAUAAGAUUUGUAAAAAAAAAAAACCAACCAAAAACCUAGAAUAAAAAAACCCAAAUGAAUAACAAUACAUCAGAAAUUUCUACUCUGACAACUAACUUACUCAAUUCAUUCAUAUCGAAAUAUGUAUACUCUGGUUUUUUGGCCU